AAGCGGCAGCGGCGGCCGCGGCGGUAGCAAAACAAAUGUGAAAAAGGGAUAACUACAGGUUCUCCGAUUAAUUUUGUGCGACCUACUAGUCUGUUUCGGUGCUCGUGCGGCUGCCUCGGAGCUGACUGUAUCUUAGGUUUCUUCCGACCGAGCGCGCUAAGCGCCCAGCUAUUUCUGGGAGCAAUGAGUAAGCGAAAUGCGCCUUGCAAUGUCAUCGGGUGCAAAGCCAGUGACAGAAAAUCCGUUAAGUCUCGGUAUUUGCUGCCUCAAGAUGAGUCCUUGCGAUCUGCUUGGCUACAGCGCAUUGGCCUUCCUUCCACGGAGACGCGGAAGAACGUACGCGUUUGUGGUAGGCACUUCGCACGUGAUGCCUUCCGUUACGAUCCGGAACUUCUACAGGGCACGGACGCCAGUUGGACACGUUUGCAUUUGAAGGUAAAUGCACUGCCGACGUUGUUCCUUCCCGACAGACAGCACAACGAUCCGCUGCAUGGAGAACCUCAUCGCCAGAUCCCCAGUGCAGCUGCAUCUUGCGAUCCACGGGUGGAAAAUUCACAGGAAGUGAGUUCGAGGUGCGAAAUAACUUUAGCACAAGUAUAACUGAUUACUUGAUCCACAGGUUGGGGCCAGUGAAUUACAUCCAACCGGAGCUGGUCUUCAAGUUUCCUGUCAAAUUUGCAGAUGCAGCUCCUCUCCUGUGCUACGCACUGUAGCAAGUCAGUGUGCUUUUGCUGCCAGGACUGUUGCUACCGAGACCUCACACAAGGGGGUGUUAAAAAAAGAUGCUGCCACGCAGGUGAAUCUCAACAUCUCUCCUUGUAGAGAAGCAAGUAUGCAGACCGAAACUUGUGACGAACUCACGGAUCCAGCUAAAUCAAGUCCCAGUGAUCCAGCAUGCAUUCCAUCACCAUCAUAGGUAUGGACCAGCACAAGGUUCAACACCAGUGCCAGGUGCAGUAGAAGAGAUAGACACUACGGAACUUGCAACUACUGUUGCUGAGAUCGAUAGAAGCUACCAGCCAUCCUUUGAUGAGAGCUUUGCAAGGUAUAUCAUUGUAUAAUAUGUCAUCUUGCAGUGUGAAUGGCACAAAGAAUGUGAACAACCCUACAUUGCCACAUUGAGCUCGAACUAGCAAUCUCCAAACUAACAAGUUGAAGAGCACAGGUUCUUUUUUUUUUUUGCAAUUUAUAGUACACUGUUCAGUGCCUGCCAAAAGCCAGUGAUCUUAAACAUGGUAUUUCACACUGGCAUGCAAACUGGAAGUUGGAAUACCAAUCUGUAAAAGAUUAUUAUAACAGAAAAAGUGUGCCACAAGACUUUCUUUUUAGCCAGUAGUUCCUUUUAUGUUAGCAUCUAAAGUUUCCUGCACCAGGUUAGAGCAUUGCAAGCAGGCAACAGUGCAUAGCCAACUGUGCCUGAAAAUUGUAAGAUGAAUGUAAGUCACAAAGACAGCUGCAUGUCCUUCUCGAUGUAGGCAUUUCCCAAGCACCAGAGAUGCCUUUGCAUCAGUUGAGUACCACCUGCAACACAUGACUAGUCAGCAGUAACAUAGUAACAUGUGCCUUGGGAUUGGGACAUGUUGAGCAUGCAACACUGCUUUUAGAAAUGCACCACACUGAAAAAAAUACAUAGGAGGGGGGCAGACAAAGGGGAUCAUGGGAGUACUUCUUGUUGGGCUAGUUGGUGAUGCAAAGCUAUUAGAAAAGGAGCGCAAAGUAACAACGCACAGAGGAGACAGGUCAGCUUCCUCUCUGUGUUGUUAAUUUUAACUCUUCUAAUAGACAAAAAGGAGGCUGGAGUUGCUAUCAAAACGUGAUGUGGAUCCUCAGCUCCGACAUGAAAGGCAGGGGAGCAGUGUCGCUUACACUCGUUGAUGCAAUGGGAGAGUCUCCACUGCGGUAAAAGUAGCUCGCCUCGUCCGAGGAUACUUAUUAUUUAUUUAUUUAUUAAUUGCUACCUAUGUCUCCUCUAUUAUGAAAACUUUUUGGAAAAUUAUCUGCUCAAAAACUUCCAAUGUAUAGUACCAACUAAAAUUUUGGAAGGGCCUGGUAAGGGUAAUAUGCACAAAAUCUGCUAACUCGAGUCGCAUGGUUUGCUCUUCAAGAGAAACAGUAAAGUAUUUAUUCUAGUUAGUGCAUGUUGCACUUUAACAUGCCUUAUGCAUUUCUUUGAUAACUUUGGCAUCUUCAUCAUUUACAGCGAUAUGGAACCCACAGCACUUCCUAAGGAUGAGCGCAAGUUUCUGGUUUUCCAGAGCAGCUUACAGGAACUCCUGUCACAUUGCCGUCUGUGCCAUUCACCAUGUGUGAAAAGGUACUCUGUAUUGGGCACCAUGGUCACUGUGGAAAGCAGGUGCCAGCAAAAGCACAUAAAAUGCUGGCAAAGUCAACCAACUGUGGGAGCCAAACCAGCUGGAAAUGUGCUGCUAGCAGGAGCUAUCUUGUUCUCGGGAUGUUCUAUUGCUCCAGUGCUUCGGUGCCUCAAGCUUAUCAACAUGGCAGCCAUUACUGAGAGGUGCUUCUACACCUAUCAGAAGUGCUGCCUGCGGUCAAUGCGGCAAGUUUCAAUUCAACUAAACUUUUUCUUGAUAACAAGAAGGGGGCAGCAGCACAAAAGCUACUGCACUGACAGCAUUUUGAAGGAGGCAGCUGCCCCCUUCUUAGGCAGCAAUGGACGGCUUGAAAUCAAACCAUGCUUAGGACAGGCAUCUAGUAACCAACAAAGUUGGAUAGAACAGUAAUGCCACAGCGCAUCUAGCCAAUAUGGGAUCCCUUGUACACAUUACCCAAACUUUUUAACAACCAGUUUAAUGUUCAGUCAGAUGAAGGCAAGAAGAAAACAGGAAGUAUGGAAAUAAAACCCAGGGUUUGACGGAAUGUUGUCUGGUCAGGGAGAGGCAUGAUGAAAAAAUACCAACAUCGACCAAGAGCUAAAAAACACUGAAUGAAAAACUAAAAAUGUUUCGGCUCCCACACAGGAGCCUUGUACAUGUUCUAUUAAAGCAACGCAAGAACAAAAAAAUUGGAGCAAAGGCCAAAACUGUCAAUCACAAGAAUAUAUUGCAAACAAUUUGCAAACCAUAUUAUACUAUUCGCUUAAUGCACUUUAGCAAGGCUUCUAACUGUGGAACAGGCUUUGUCAUUGCAUGAACAAUUGGUAGUGGAAUGACUAUGCCACAUUAGAAGUACACUGAACGAAGUGCUAUCACAGAAUAAAAAGAGAGCAUAACAUUGCAAAUAGUUACCUCUUAUUGUUGGUGUAAUGGCAAAUUAUGUUGGUACACGGCUUUCAAGGAGCAGCAGACUUGCUUGACAAGCAAAAUGGCAGACACCGAGGUCGACUUGGCUGGCUAUGGCUGCUGCGAUUCACCAGGGCAUAGCGCCAAGUACUGCACAUACAAGUCUACUUUGCACACAGGCUAACCAAAUCUUGCACUGUGAGCAAGUACAAGUAAGACAGGCAACUGCAGUGCCAAGCAGCACUUCAAUGGAGAAGGAGGGGUUGGUGAGGAGCCUGGACUACUUGGAAAAACAGGGCAUCACAGUGCGCUCCCUGACCACAGAUCGCCACCCCGCCAUCAGGGCCUUCUGCAGGCAGAAAAGACCUGACAUGACACACCAUUUUGAUGUGUGGCACAUUGCAAAGGCAAUGGAUACACAGCAUAAUCAACCAUCUCUACUGGGUUGCUGCUAUGGGACAAGGUGAUGGCGACCUAAUAGUGAGCAUGUGGAAGUCCCUGGUGAACCACAUCUGUGACCAGCAUCAUGGACAUGAAAGGCCUUUCACAGAAUGUCUGCAUGGCCCCCUUGAAGACAGAGCAUGGAUGACACGAGGUUCACCCGCCUUCCAAAAGCUGAGACGAAUUUUGGAAAGCCCUCGCUUGCCGAGUGAUCUGCGCCACCUUUCACCUGGAGUACAGACGUACUCAUUAGAGUCAUUCAACAGCUUGCCGAUUUGCUUUGCCCCUAAAUCUGUGGCUUAUUCACCAGAUGGCAUGAAGGCAAGGUAAACUGCCUAAAUGAAAUGACACAAAAAAGCAUACCAGCUUCCAAAUUUGUUCCCAGGGCUCAACCAGGUGCUCUUCACUAUAACGAGAACGCUACAAGACAUCAGGCUUCCACCAGGAAAGGAGCGCUACGAUGGAAAGUAAAGCUUAGCAAAGCGAUGAAGGGGCACUUCACCGUCGCCCCUUGCAAGACACUGCCAAGCUAUGGCUACGUUGACAAGCUCGUCCGAGCAGUAAUGAUGAGGUGCGAGGCCAGCUCAUACUGGAGCAGCCUUGCCAGCAGCUCAUCUGGGCCACGCCUGCACAUGACAGACACUUAUGAAAAGCCAGCCAAGGAGGAACUCAUUGCUACACGACAGUCAAGAUUUUCUGCUACAGCUUUGUCAUUUCUAAGGAAAUCACUGCCUUUUUUUAUUUUGUCAGAACAGCAACUGCCUACCUUGGGAGUAUCUUUAUGUAUACAUAGCUUGCUCGCCCCCUCACUUGAUGAGGGGAGGAGGAGGAGGAUAAGCUGGUGCACCAUGUAAGUGGAAUUGAGAAUGUUGAAGAAAAGAGGAGGAAGGAGAAAAAGAAAAGAGGGCCUGAGGAUGGUGUUUAGUUGCCAGACUGAGACAACAUAGGGAAACUGAUGCUGGUUUAGAAGCAAGGCUGACAGAAAAUGUAAGCGGGAUACAAACAUGCAAGCAGUUGCUGGCAACAACCGCACGCUCAUCUUGCUGCAAAAGAGGGAAGAAGAAGUUGUGCUGUUCAAAUGUGUGGAAAGAAAAACAACAAAAAUGCAGAAAGAAAAUCGAAAUUGUUAGAAGGAACUAAGUUAUAAAAAGACAUGUUUGGUCAGGAGUAAAAACACAAAUUCUCAUCUUGAAAACUGAGGAAAGAGGGAAACAACUUUUACAACUGUUUAUUCCAAAAGAUCUUUUUUUGAAAUCUGCAGCCCUAAAAAAGGAAGUGAUUUCAGAGUCGUCUAUGUGCCAUUGCAUCUUGACCAUGCAGUUUCUAUUCCCUCCUGAAAAACAAUUUUUACUUCACCCAUCACCUAACACCAGCGCGGAAUGGGACCACCUUCCCUCCUCCAUCACCUGCACUGAAGAUGCAUCAUUGUUUUAGACUGCUGUUAGUGAAUACAUCUUGAGAUAUUUCACUUGAUGUAUUGUUCCACAAGUAUUCUUAUUCAUUGCGUGUGCGUGAUUUUUAUGCUAAUUUAUUGCACCCACACCCCCUGGGCCCUGACUACUGAAGUAAAUAAAUCAAACUGCACUUUAUGAGUCGUCCCUUUGCAAGCCCAAUUCAUAGUGCGGGGUACUGGAAGCCAACAUAAGAUGCAGAUGGGAACUCUUCCCUUAUUCUUGCCACAACACAAGUAGGCAGCACCACUCGGUUGUGUCGCCCAAGCCUCUUCCAUAUCCACCGGUUGAACAUUUGAUAGGCCACGAAGCUGUAUUUUCUGUAAGCAAAAUGUAGGCAUGAGAAAGCCACAUCAACAGCAUGCUUUGCAGGUGUUACUUGUGGAUUUCCCCAGUGACAUUUUCCGUUACUUCCCAGUACAUCGCUUCUAAUACUGCUGGGUUCAAGCAAAGGCUUGAAAAGUGUGCAUGUCGAGUUAUAGUUGUCGCCUUUUGCAGCACAACUCGGUUGUGUCGCCCAAGCCUCUUCCAUAUCCAACGGGUGAACAUUUGAUAGACCACGAAGCUGUAUUUUCUGUAAGCAAAAAGUAGGCAUGAGAAAGCCACAUCAAAAGCAUGCUUUGCAGGUGUUACUUGUGGAUUUCCCCCGUGACAUUUUCCGUCACUUCCCAGUACAUGGCUUCUAAUACUGCUGGGUUCAAGCAAAGGCUUGAAAAGUGUCGAGUUAUAC